AUUGAACGCUGGCGGCAAGCCUAACACAUGCAAGUCGAACGGAGCGGCGGACGGGUGAGUAAUGUCUGGGAAACUGCCUGAUGGAGGGGGAUAACUACUGGAAACGGUAGCUAAUACCGCAUACUAUCGGAUGAGCCUAUGUCGGAUUAGCUAGUUGGUGGGGUAAAGGCCUACCAAGGCGACGAACCUUAACUGGUCUGAGAGGAUGAUCAGGCACCCUGGAACUGAGACACGGCCCAGACUCCUACGGGAGGCAGCAGUGGGGAAUAUUGGACAAUGGGCGAAAGCCUGAUGCAGCCAUGCCGCGUGUGUGAAGAAGGUCUUCGGAUUGUAAAGCACUUUAAGUUGGGAGGCGUUACCAACAGAAUAAGCACCGGCUAACUUCGUGCCAGCAGCCGCGGUAAUAC
rnacentral:rRNA from 1 species